rnacentral:rRNA from 1 species
GACGAACGCUGGCGGCGUGCUUAACACAUGCAAGUCGAACGGUGAACCGGGCUUCGGCCCGGGGAUCAGUGGCGAACGGGUGCGUAACACGUGGGCAACCUGCCCCAGACACUGGGAUAACCCCGGGAAACCGGGGCUAAUACCGGAUACUCCGCUCGGACCGCAUGGUCUGAUCGGGAAAGCUCCGACGGUCUGGGAUGGGCCCGCGGCCUAUCAGCUCGUUGGUGGGGUAACGGCCUACCAAGGCGACGACGGGUAGCUGGUCUGAGAGGUCGACCAGCCACACUGGAACUGAGAUACGGUCCAGACUCCUACGGGAGGCAGCAGUGGGGAAUCUUGCACAAUGGGCGAAAGCCUGAUGCAGCGACGCCGCGUGGGGGACGAAUGCCUUCGGGUUGUAAACCCCUUUCGGCAGGGAAGAAGCGCAAGUGACGGUACCUGCAGAAGAAGCUCCGGCUAACUACGUGCCAGCAGCCGCCGCAGUAAGAC